ACUCCUACGGGAGGCAGCAGUGGGGAAUAUUGCACAAUGGGCGCAAGCCUGACAGCCAUGCCGCGUGUGUGAAGAAGGCCUUCGGGUUGUAAAGCACUUUCAGUCGUGAGGAAGGUAGUGUAGUUAAUAGCUGCAUUAUUUGACGUUAGCGACAGAAGAAGCACCGGCUAACUCCGUGCCAGCAGCCGCGGUAAUACGGAGGGUGCGAGCGUUAAUCGGAAUUACUGGGCGUAAAGCGCAUGCAGGUGGUUUGUUAAGUCAGAUGUGAAAGCCCGGGGCUCAACCUCGGAAUUGCAUUUGAAACUGGCAGACUAGAGUACUGUAGAGGGGGGUAGAAUUUCAGGUGUAGCGGUGAAAUGCGUAGAGAUCUGAAGGAAUACCGGUGGCGAAGGCGGCCCCCUGGACAGAUACUGACACUCAGAUGCGAAAGCGUGGGGAGCAAACAGGAUUAGAUACCCUGGUAGCUACGAGU
rnacentral:rRNA from 1 species